CAGUCGCCGCGGGAAUACGGAGGGUGCAAGCGUUAAUCGGAAUUACUGGGCGUAAAGCGCACGCAGGCGGUUUGUUAAGUCAGAUGUGAAAUCCCCGAGCUUAACUUGGGAACUGCAUUUGAGACUGGCAAGCUAGAGUCUUGUAGAGGGGGGUAGAAUUCCAGGUGUAGCGGUGAAAUGCGUAGAGAUCUGGAGGAAUACCGGUGGCGAAGGCGGCCCCCUGGACAAAGACUGACGCUCAGGUGCGAAAGCGUGGGGAGCAAACAGGAUUAGAUACCCCGGUAGUCCCUGUCUCUUAUAC
rnacentral:rRNA from 1 species